CUUCUGUCUGAAAGAUUUAUGGGGAGGUUGUUCUGCUGUAGGCUCACCUCAGCUGAAACUGCUCCUAUGUUAGUGGCAGUCAUGUUCUCCAGGUUUUGCUGAAAACCAGCUCUCAAGACACAGUGUGAAGAGUUCACCAAAAUAAAGCUGAAGGAAUGGAAUCCUCCUCCAUCCCCUCAGCUCAGAAGUGAUGGAUUCCUUCAGCUUUGUACACUCUCUGAUGAUAUUAAAGUGUCUGUGACUUCAUGGCCACUACAGAGCCCAGCUGAGGUGAUUGGCAUUCCCAAGAAGUGUGGUCCACACCAUCCAGGCUUAAGAAUGCUCUUCAUGGAAGACUGACUGUUACAGAGGUUGCCUGGAUGGGCUCGAUAGGUGGAACAACCUGAACAACAGAAACACAGAACAUUCUUAUAAGAUGAAAGCAUCCCUCUUAUAGAUCCAGGACCGGACAGGCUGUCUGCUCCGCACAGUAACAAAGACUUGAAACCAGAUUGGCGCGAUGCCUGAUACAACACUAAAUGCUUCCCUGUGGCUUUCUACUCCCAGGGAGAAAGAGCAAAGAAAUCAGCAGGGAGACCAGUGGAAGUCAUGGUUUGACAACAUCAAAGAGCAGCUUGGACCCUAUCCUUAUAAAGAGAAAAAGGUUGCCAGGAUCCCAUGAGUUGGCUGACUAAUAAGCGAAGUGCUGCCAAUGCUCCGAUUCAGGAUGGCUUGGGCUGACCCAGUGAGUGAUGGCCAUUGCCGAUGGAAGAAGUUAGCAGAAAAAGCAGGGAGAUAAAGAAAAAUAACCAAGCAAAUACAGGAAUUGUGAACUCAUGUAGCACAGGGGGAGUCGCCUCUUGAAUCAGAAACGUCUGUGUUAGUAGUAAGGUCAACAGUGACUUCUGAGAAGGCAUUUGCAGCAUUUGUUACCGCUUCCGUCCUCUGACAGAGACACAUUGGUGUGUGGUGCUAUUUGUCUUGUCCACACUGAUCAGAAUAAUGGACAACGUGGCGGGGGGAAGGAGGAAAAUGCAUCAUUUAAAAAACCAGGAUGGCCAGAUGUACAUGUACACUGGGAUUUCACAUAUUGCAUGCGGGUCAGCCCCUUCCAGUUAUUAUAAAUGACCCUGUGCUCCUUUAUGAAGACCAGAUCCCCAGUGAGGUCUGAGUGACUGGAUUCGUUCGUUUGCGCAACAGAAAGCAGUUGCAGCAUGAGGCAGUCCAAGUCACACUGCUGCAGGCAAGGGACAGGCAGCUGCCUUUGGGCAAGAAGAAGCUGUGUGACCAUUUACUGGCUGAAGGACUGUCCAGGGAGCAUGGAAAAUGUUUCCUGGUUCUCCUGAGGUGGAAAAAUCCAUAAAGUCAGCCUAAAUGAAUUGGAUGAAAGGUACUAUAGUCCUGAAGAUCUGCUUAAAUGAGAGAUUCAGGGGAACACGGUGAGCAGGGUGGCUCCCAGUUUGCUGUAAAAUCAUUUCUCCUUCCUCACUAUGCCCACAUGCUCUGUCCCUGAAGAUCCUGAAUUUCAUCUCACACUGAACACUGCUGCAAGACCUGGUUUUCCCCAGAGAGGUUUCCAAUGAAGCAUUGAAGCCAACAUCUGAGGAAGAAGAACAAUUUUCCUGGAGGCACUAUGGUCACAAACACACAUGCCUCUGCCACCUGGGUCUUGUCUUAGCUUGACCAUGAGGUGACCAAGUUGAUAGGGAUAGAGAUCUGCUCCCAGCCUCACUAUAUUUUUGAAAAGUCACUUUCCUAUCUCUGAUUUUUGCCUUAUCUGUUUAAACUGUCAGCUGCGCAGAGGGGUUUUGUAAAGCACCUAUUGCAAUAGGGCUCCGAUCUCUCCUGAGGCCUCUGAACACCAUGGUAAUAUAAAUAAUAAGAAAGCAUUUAUCAAAGCAUACAAAGGAAACUCUCUGUGCUUUGAUUUAAAGCAUGUAAAAUGAGUCUUGGAAAACAUUCCUCCAAAGGAGCAGAGGAUUAAUUAACACUUGUCCAGCCUGUUGCGACCACAGGCAGUGCUGGGAGUCCUCUGCACCACUGACUUACCUCCAGGAAGAGCUUUCUUCGGGGAGGGACACGGACAGGCACCAGAAAUUACAGGACCUCUCCUUGCUUUAACUGGGUUUGCUUUUCCGCACAAAGCAAAGAACACAAAAGACCCCAGGGAAACAGAAGGGACACAAAAAUAUGUUGUAUUUACAGAAUUUGGGAAGGAGUAGUUUAGACCCUUGAGGCUUAGAGUGCUUAUUGCUGAGCUUCGAUGCCUUGCCGCACAUUUGAUUAACGACCCCCCUGGAAAAAAGCAAUCCACGACCGCCCUCCCGGCCCGAGGUGCUGCCCGCAGAGCAUCCGGCUGCUCGGCCACGGGUCCUGGGGGAGCUGUGCUGUGACGCCGAGCGGCAUCUGCGGGGACAUGGGGAGACCUCGCAGCUGCGGAGAGCCCAGUUCCCAAACGCUGCCUGGUCAGAGUUCAUCAGUCUUCCUCGCUGAAAAGACUCAAGAGUUGGAGUUUAUCAUCUCAGCUGGUUCAAAUUGCAGAGCACGAGAAGGGAGAAUGGUUUUCCAGCUUUUAAGCCAGGAUAAUUUGUUUGCUUUAUUAUUAUUUUUUAUGGUAAAAAUGGUUUAAAUCCAUCAAGUUACUCUUCAGAGUUACAGAGUUGCAAUAAAUCCUAAUCUGUUUGGA